UCCACGCCCUAAACGAUGGAUGCUAGUCGUUGGACGCAAGUUCAGUGACGCAGUUAACACGAUAAGCAUCCCGCCUGGGGAGUACGGCCGCAAGGCUAAAACUCAAAGGAAUAGACGGGGACCCGAACAAGUGGUGGAGCAUGUGGUUUAAUUCGAAUACGCGAAGAACCUUACCUGGGCUUGACAUCCCAAGAACCCUGUAGAGAUACGGGGGUGCCUGCUUGCAGGAGCUU
rnacentral:rRNA from 1 species